GACCUACGGGAGAAAGGGGGCAGUUUACUGCUCUCGCUAUUAGAUGAGCCUAAGUCGGAUUAGCUAGAUGGUGGGGUAAAGGCCUACCAUGGCGACGAUCUGUAGCUGGUCUGAGAGGAUGAUCAGCCACACCGGGACUGAGACACGGCCCGGACUCCUACGGGAGGCAGCAGUGGGGAAUAUUGGACAAUGGGGGCAACCCUGAUCCAGCCAUGCCGCGUGUGUGAAGAAGGCCUUUUGGUUGUAAAGCACUUUAAGCAGUGAAGAAGACUCCAUGGUUAAUACCCAUGGACGAUGACAUUAGCUGCAGAAUAAGCACCGGCUAACUCUGUGCCAGCAGCCGCGGUAAUACAGAGGGUGCAAGCGUUAAUCGGAAUUACUGGGCGUAAAGCGAGCGUAGGUGGCUUGAUAAGUCAGAUGUGAAAUCCCCGGGCUUAACCUGGGAACUGCAUCUGAUACUGUUAGGCUAGAAUAGGUGAGAGGAAGGUAGAAUUCCAGGUGUAGCGGUGAAAUGCGUAGAGAUCUGGAGGAAUACCGAUGGCGAAGGCAGCCUUCUGGCAUCAUAUUGACACUGAGGUUCGAAAGCGUGGGUAGCAAACAGGAUUAGAUACCCUGGUAGUCCACGCCGUAGACGAUGUCUACUAGUCGUUGGGUCCCUUGAGGACUUAGUGACGCAUCUAACGCAAUAAGUAGACCGCCUGGGGAGUACGGCCGCAAGGUUAAAACUCAAAUGAAUUGACGGGAGCCCGCACAAGCGGUGGAGCAUGUGGUUUAAUUCGAUGCAACGCAAAGAACCUUACCUGGUCUUGACAUAUCUAG
rnacentral:rRNA from 1 species